GUACAUAUUUUACGAUUACUGGACUUCUGGCAGAGUGGAGUUCAAGGUACAAGGAGUGACCCAGUUCCUUGAGUCCUGACUUUGGCUUCCACUGCUGUAGAAUGGCUGGGAACUCCCUGCCUUGUUGCCUUGCUUCUGCUCUUUAGAACUACU